CUUCACAACUCUGUAGAACAGAACUUACUCACAGUUCACAAUUAGUCUCUCUAAGCUUUUCUUUUUUCUUUUGUUCAGUUUGAUUUGAUGUUCUUUAGUAUGAUUUGAUUUAGUUUUUCGUUUUGAAUUUUUUUUUAUAGAGAUCUACUAGUUAUAUAGUUUGUAUGAAUGUGACGGAGAUGGUUUUCUGGGUAGAAAAUCUCUCAACUUGUUAUUAGAAUUAAAUGGAGCAAGCAAUUAAUCAAUGCUUGUAAAUUCCUAAGUAAACGUCACAAAUAAAACAACCUUGUUUGAAACGUUGAUGGUUCUUUAUGUUCCUCCGUUUAGAGGAUCAUUGUGUCAUAUCUCAUCGCCUUGUGGAGCAGCGUUGUUGCUUUUACCAUUUGGGACUUGCCAUGGCACAAACAUUUUUUUUUUUAAUUUGAAUUUUUUUAUGUUGAUUUUGAGUUGAUGAAAGAUGAAGCUGGAUGAGCUAAAAUAAAUAUAAAGUGGUUAGGUGAGAGUAAGAUCAUUCCAAAUGGUGAGAUUCUUCUCAAUGGAAGAUGAUGUUGUUACUGUUUGCAAUGCUCUGCUUCUCAUUUAUUUUUUUCUCAUGUUUUUGUUUGAGUUUUUCCUGCUUCGUCUCUUGUCGUUUGAAUUCAUGUUCUGUGUUUUUGUUAAUUGCCAAUGAGGAAAUUAGUUAUAAAGAACACCAUCUUUCGGGACUGAUUGGCUUAUAGCCUUGUUGAUUCAUUCUGCAAUUCUGAGGCUUUUUAUUAAAUUUAUUAAUUACAAUUUUAGGUUUUUUAUCAAUUUUUGCACCAAAAUACAUGGUCUAUUUUGUUGAUUUUAUAGACUUUACGAGCAUGGUGCCAAACACAAGUGUUUCUCAUAUUUUCUUUGUUGUUUGGCAAUUAUUUGUUAACCAUGUCUUGGAGGAACAACAUUUGGUUUAAUUAAGUAAAUUCUUAUACUGAAUUGAAUAAUUAAUUUGAAUUUUACAACAAAAUUUAUUUGAUUAUAACAUUUGAAGUAAAAGCAAAAUGAGGAGUUGAUAAAUCUGAAUUUUUAUGUUGAAAUAUUAACAUAAUGGUCUUCAAAGUUCUCUGAUUGCUUCUUUUUCUGUUUAAAGCUUCUUUGAUAACUUCCAACUGAUUAAAUUGCUAGAUUUUGUGUAAAUUUAUGUAAGUUAAGCCAAUUUGCAGAGCAAAGGUGUCUGAUAAUAUAAUUAUCUUGUGGCUCAAUUUGCCUUGAAGGUUGGCAAUAUAAAUAAGUGAUUCUCCGUGCCUCUCAAAUUUCUACUGUUUUGAACAGGCCUCGAACAAGUUCCUACAUUUUCUAUGGUAUUUUGCUGUUUUCUUUUUCAUUAUUUUUUUUGUUUGAUUAAUUAUUUUUUUUAUAAGAUUUUGUAUCAGAUUAAUAUUUAACUAUUUCUUGAAAACAAAAUUCCGAGUAGUGGUUGAUUUAAAUCAUUAAACAAUUUGUGGAGACAUAAGCAACCUUAUUAUAUUUUGCGGAUGAAAUGAAGACUAAUGUAGGAUGGUAAUGGAUGUGUUAUAUGGAAUCUGGAGUUAGGUGAGAGUUAUAUUUUGUGGAUGAAAUGAAGACUAAUGAAGGAUGGUAAUGAAUGUGUUAUAUGGAAUCUGGAGUUAGGUGAGAGGGCAGAUCAUUAUAAGUGGUGAGUACAUCAUUUGGAAGUUGUAUUUACUGCUUGUAAUGAUCUGCCUCCCAUCUUUCUCUUUUUUAUUCUAGCUCGCUCAGUAGCUUCUUUCAUUAGUUGUUCAUACUUCUUGUUCAAGUGCUAUUGGAGAUCAAUCUAAUUAUGUUUGUGCUGUAGCAAGCUGAUGGACUUUAAAGGAGAGAGGAGUUGGGACUGUUAUGUUUAACUGAUGAUGUUGUCUGUGAAAAUCAAAUUUGUUUGAUGAAACACACUAUAUUAUCCUACUAGCUAAUAUUUUUGAUAAUCCAAAUGUGUGCUACACUCUGAUCGAUUGUUCCAAAUUGAUAGUUUUACCUUCUUUUUGAUGUGUUCAUUUUUCAGUUUAAGUUUUUACCAUUUAGUUUUAGAAGAAGCUGUUGAUCUUUUGUAAGGAAAUGUUGUUUUGGUUGCCUCAAAAAAAAUGUUAAAACAUAUUGUAAAUAGUUAUUUUUCUUUUGGUAAAGUCUAUUGAUAGAAAGAAUAUGUGCAGCAUGUCACAAAACCAGUUACUACUAAUUAAAUCAAUAUUCAAAAGAGCAUGUUUAGCAGGUGAUUUUG
rnacentral:lncRNA from 1 species